rnacentral:tRNA from 5 species
GGUAAAAUGGCUGAGAUAGAGGCAUUGGACUGUAAAUCUAAAGACAGAGGUAACCCUCUUUUUACCA